rnacentral:rRNA from 1 species
UACAGAGGUCCCGAGCGUUGUUCGGAUUCACUGGGCGUAAAGGGUGCGUAGGUGGUGAGGUAAGUCGGAUGUGAAAGCUCCAAGCUCAACUUGGAAAUGGCAUUGGAAACUACCUUGCUAGAGGGUUUGAGGGGGGACUGGAAUACUUGGUGUAGCAGUGAAAUGCGUAGAUAUCAAGUGGAACACCAGUGGCGAAGGCGAGUCCCUGGAAAACUCCUGACACUGAGGCACGAAAGCUAGGGAGCAAACAGG